GCCAAAUAAAACAUAUAAGGUGUAACUGUACUGAAUCAGCUGGUAGGCCUACAGUCACCAUUAUAUGUGAGUUUAGUUUGAACACUGUCCCCCACUCAGGAAGCUGAAAGUCCACAGAAAAUACUGCAGUAUAUGAUAUGGAUAUGUCUUCAUAUUGUCUUUUAUGCUGUAUAAAAAUGUGGCUCUGAACAUAGGUUUGCGAUGAUUUCAAAGGAUCUUUCCUCCAGGGGCGGAUCUACCGGGGUGGCAUGGGGUGGUAACUCCCCAGCUACCACCCCAGAUGGCAGCGUUGAUUUGAAAGAAAAGUUGUGGCUCAUUGGACAUUUAUUCGAGAUCAUAUCUAAUGUCCGAGUGCAAUUGAAUGCAGCAGAAGACGGUGCGAAACGGGAAGCAUUCGGACCCAAGAAGACGGAAGGCAUGAGGAAUCAGUUUGGAUUGGGAAAGAUUGGGCCACAAGCUGCAGGCAUUUGAAGCACACAAAAUGAAGAGGAAGGGUGGCAUUGCAAGUUUUUUCAUGAGGAGGAAGGAGAACACAACAGAGAAGAAGAGAUGGAAGAUGGAGAGCAUCACAUAGACAAGGUGCAAGAGGGAGAGAGCGAGAGACAACAACACGACAUGCAGAGCGGGGGAAAUGAA